UAAGACGAACCGUGCGAACGUUGUUCGGAAUCACUGGGCUUAAAGGGCGCGUAGGCGGGCUGCCAGGUCGGGGGUGAAAGCGUUCGGCUCAACCGGACAAGGGCCCCCGAUACCGGCGGCCUCGAGGGAGGUAGGGGUCGGUGGAACUUCCGGUGGAGCGGUGAAAUGCGUAGAUAUCGGAAGGAACGCCGGUGGCGAAAGCGGCCGACUGGACCUCUUCUGACGCUGAGGCGCGAAAGCCAGGGGAGCGAACGGGAUUAGAUACCCCGGUAGUCCUGGCCCUAAACGAUGGGCACCAGAUUGUGGGCCGGACAUGGGCUCACAGUCGCGGCAAAAGUGUUAAGUGCCCCGCCUGGGGAGUAUGGUCGCAAGGCUG
rnacentral:rRNA from 1 species